ACUUGUUGCAGAGCAACAGAAUUUGGCCCACAGGCUGUACUCUGGCCAGCCCUGUCAUAGAAUCCCAGAAUGAAUCCCCAUUUAGACUGCCAUGCAAUCAGAUCAUGGGGAAUCCUCCUCUCCUCUGUUUAGUGUGGAGGAGCGCCAUGUGAAUUCUGCAGACUCUCUUGACCAUGUUUGACCUUAUCUACAGAUAUGCAUUUAUAAGAUGAGAACUGCAGAAUACUGUUGCACACCAAGAAAAAGAAUUAAGUUUAGAAUUCAAGCUAGGUACAGUGGGGAGCAAUUAAAAUAGGGAAGAGACCGAGAAAGAGAGGUGGACAAUGGCCAGUAGUUUUGUUAAGUAUAAGCAGAUGUGCAAGACGGGAUUGUGUGGCAGCAUUCUCAGUAUUGUCAAGCAAAGACACAAGGAAAUGUUAAGGUAGGGGUGCAGAGGAGAGGCCCUAAUAUUCUAGCAAGCCUGUUUCCCUUCAACAGCCCCCUUUCUCCCUUCCUGUUGUUGCCAUAUCUCUGUUCUUACAAAAUAUCUAGCAGUCUCUUCAGACUGUCCUACUUAGAGAGUAACUUACUGUAGGUUUUGAUACUAUGAUAUGGGUCUGUUCCUGUUGGAUAGUCGGGGAGGAAGGAGAAGACUUCUGACCACCUGUGGUUAUAAACACUCCCUUGGUACUUCUCCCAAAACUGGGGAUUUGUUCUGAUACACUUAACAAAAUUUCCUCUUAAUGUUGUGCUUUGGAGGCUUUUGGUCUCUACUUCAGAGGUGGCUGCAUUUCAUUUGCCAGAAGCUGGGAAUCGGUGACAGGAGAUGGACCACUUGAUGUUUUACGUGUUCUGUUCAUUCCCUCUGAAGCACCUGGCAUUGGCCACUGUUGGAAGACAGGAUACUGGGCUAGAUGGACCAUUGAUCUGACCCAGUAUGACUGUUUUUAUGUCACAACUGUAGCUUGUGAUCUUUGUAGAUAAGGCACUAUGAAGAGUCAGAUUUUAAAUGGUUCUCCUGGGAGUCUUGUUUACCUCGACCAAUCUUUAUAAUAUGCCUUCCCCACUCUAAUGCACUCACAACUGAAAGAAACAAUCUGUCCCCAGUUCAAACCUCUGCAGAAUACUGACUUGUCUGGUUACCUCAGCAUCUCGAUGCUGAUAAGUCUCGUUCACUGUUCGCAGUCAUGUCCAGGUCCCUUUCCUGAGAGGUUACAAUUAAUGUGGAAUCCAGCAGUGUGUCUCAAUAGUUCAGUCUAUUCCUUCCAAUAUGAGUUACCUCAUUUGUCAAUUCUGAAUUUCAUCUAUCAAACUGCCCAUUCGCUUAACUUUGUUUAGGUCCCUCUGAAGUUUUUCUCAGUCUUUCGUGAUCUUGACUAACCAGCGUAACUUUCUCAUCUGACACCCUACUUCUGUAAACCCUUUUCCAGAUCAUUGAGAUGUGUAUAUAAUCCAUUAAUCCUAGUACAGAACCUUGGUGUGCCCCGAGGUUAACCUCUUGUCAUGUUGAAAACUGACCAAUUGUUCCUGCUCUUCAUUUUCGUAGCCAAUUUCUAUUCCUUGACAGUACUUUAUCUUGCCCUGGGAUUACUGUUUCUAAUAGCUUCUUUUUUUUUUUGAAAAUCCAAAUAUGCUGUCAGCCAGUUCUCUUCUAUCCACUGUUUUGUGGGCAUGCUUUACAAUUCCAGUAGAUUAGAGAGAGGUCUUCCUCUACAGAAGGUGCACUAGUUUGCACCUAUGAUGUGUUGAGAUGAAUGUUCAAUAAAAAGCUAAUAACUGAAAACAGAGUUGUAUAAAACAAUUGUUUACAGUACAAAUUGUUUGCUUGUAUAAUUAUGAAGUGACAAAUGCAAAAGGUCAGCAGUUUCCUGGUAACGAAAUAAAGUUCACUGGUUUGUGAUUCCCAGGAUCAGCCCAGUGCUCCUUUUAAGACAGGUUUAUCACUUUUGGGGAGGUUUGUGGGGGUCCUCUGGUAGAAUAGCUGAUUUUAGUGAGACUUCAUAUUUUUUGUUAGCUCAGCACUUCACUUCCUUCAGAACUCUUGGAUGUCUGCCAGUUGUUGCUUUUUAAGGCCCUUUGCUCCUGAAGUCAAUGGGCUCUGAAUCAAGUCCUAACUUAUCUUUGCCAUUUAUACGGAGGGGAGAGGAAGGAGUUGGGUUCAGGUGCAGUACUUUUCUUCUGAUCUAUUCAGAGAUCCCCACCAGCAAUUCGAAACUGACAUGAUUGAUGGAUUUCACUACUACUGAUGGGGUUCUCACUAGUAGCUGUGAAACCGACCAGUCUUCAGAAAGUCCUUUCCAGUAUACCAAUGAUACGUGCAACAUUGACUCCCUGCCCUUCUCUCUCUCCGUGAGUCCCCCCCAAAAAACCCCAACCAAUAAAAAAUUACCCCGAAACAAAUUAACAUGAGGGGAAAGUACAUUAAUUAACAAACCCUGAACUCAAACCCUACCCAUGCAGAGUUUUUACACCAGAAAUGGAGAAGUGCCAGAGACUCCACGAAAUACGCUGGGGACCUUGCUACUGCUAUAGAUUUUUGUGUGGAACGUGCUCAGAUACUGUGUUAACAGGUUGCAGAAUAAAACCCUAGGAGUCUUUUGCUCUUCUGAUUCAGUUCUUGGCAAAACGAUGUGUUGCAGCAGAGGCACUGGAAAUAUUUUUAGAUUCAGGAGGACAAUACUGCAUUGACUUUCAUUGGGAAGGUGGGCUUUGCAUUCAUAUGGGGUAGGAACUUGAUUUUUUUUUUUUUUUUUUUUUUUUUUUUGAAGUGAAAGACUAAAUUCUGCUAUACUAGAAUAUGGUCUCUCAGCUCUCCAGAGAAAGCUCCCUGUGGGAUUAUUACCAGCCUCGGAAUGUCUGACAGAUCUCUGGGAGAAGAAAAGGAAGAUAAUAUAUGUGAGAAUCUUGCUUGUGCCUCCUGGAAGAGGGAGAAGAACAAGGGAGUGGAGGAAAGGUCUCCUUGCAAAGAGAGGAGAAAGCAUUGACAAUGGACCGUAUUGAGGGCAGUCGGGAGAUGCAGAAACAGCUGAUGGAGUUGAUGCAGAAGUAGGCAGUCCUGCUAGAGAACAUUGUAGUACAAUUGUUCCUGCCCAGUAUCUGCACCUCCACGCCAACCCAGCCAUGUCCUGCAGCCCACUGAGAGCAAUGCAUACUGAGAACAGUGGUAUCCUUCCCGAAGUUUCAGCCACAGGCACCUCUCUCCACACCCCAAGUCAGGGAGAUCAGUGAAUACUGGAACCCUACCUUCACCCCAGCUACAAGUGAUGGAUUAUUUUCUUGCCAUUCUACAUCUUACGGCAAGGACAGCAGUUAAACCCUGGUCCAACCCAUGUUUGUGACCAAAAUAGCACAGAUAUGUGUAUUAAGCAUUUAGGCAUGUGUGUCACAUCAGUACUAUUAUGUUCCAUAAAGUUUUCACUGUUUUAUGUGUUUUAUGUCCUAUUGCUUUGAAGUUUGCACUGCGUUCAAUAAAAGUUUUAUUAUUUGCACUA